rnacentral:rRNA from 1 species
UACGUAGGGGGCAAGCGUUGUCCGGAAUCAUUGGGCGUAAAGAGCGUGUAGGCGGCUCGAUAAGUCCGCUGUGAAAGUCCAGGGCUCAACCCUGGAAUGCCGGUGGAAACUGUCGAGCUAGAGUCCGGAAGAGGCGAGUGGAAUUCCUGGUGUAGCGGUGAAAUGCGCAGAUAUCAGGAGGAACACCGAUGGCGAAGGCAGCUCGCUGGGACGGUACUGACGCUGAGACGCGAAAGCGUGGGGAGCAAACAGG